rnacentral:rRNA from 1 species
UACGAAGGGUGCAAACGUUGCUCGGAAUCACUGGGCGUAAAGCGCACGUAGGCGGACUCUUAAGUCGGUGGUGAAAUCCUGGAGCUCAACUCCAGAACUGCCUUCGAUACUGGGAGUCUCGAGUCCGAGAGAGGUGAGUGGAACUGCGAGUGUAGAGGUGAAAUUCGUAGAUAUUCGCAAGAACACCAGUGGCGAAGGCGGCUCACUGGCUCGGUACUGACGCUGAGGUGCGAAAGCGUGGGGAGCAAACAGG